rnacentral:rRNA from 1 species
CCUACGGGAGGCAGCAGUGAGGAAUAUUGGUCAAUGGGCGUGAGCCUGAACCAGCCAAGUAGCGUGAGGGACGACUGCCCUAUGGGUUGUAAACCUCUUUUAUGCGGGAAUAACGUCGCCUACGUGUAGGCGAGUGCAUGUACCGCAUGAAUAAGCAUCGGCUAAUUCCGUGCCAGCAGCCGCGGUAAU